rnacentral:lncRNA from 1 species
GCUCACACACACACACACACACACACACACACACACACACACACUCUCUCUCUCUCUCUCUCUCUCUCUCUCUCUCUCUCUCACUCUCUCACACACUCACACUCUCUCUCUCUCUCAAACAUAAACACGCUCACGCACACACUCACUCACUCACUCACACACGUACCGACACAAGCACUCACACUCACGCGCACACUCGCGCGCGCACACAAACACUCACACACGCGCACACACGCACACACAAGCGGACACACACACUCGCACACACAAGCACUCACACACACACACACAAGCACUCGCACACAAGCACUCAUACACAAGCACUCGCGCACGCACGCACUCGCACGCACACACACGCUUGCACGCACACAAAAACAUAAACACACAAGCACGCACACACACACGCAAGCACACACACACACGCAAGCACGCACGCAUACACACAAGCGCGCGCACACACAAAAGCGCACACACAAAAGCGCACACACACAAAAGCACAAGCACACACAAAAGCACACGCACACACAAAAGCACAAGCACGCGCACGCACAAGCGCACACACACACACACACACAAGCACGCGCGCACACACACGCACGUGCACACAAGCACGCGCUCACAAGCACUCUCACACAUGCACUCUCACACACACGCACUCACUCACUCACUCACUCACUCGCACACACACAUAAACGCACGCGCACACACAAGCAUGCACAUACUCAAACUGACUCACUCACAAGCACACACACGCACAAGCGUACACACACACACACUCUCUCGCACUCACACACUCUCACACUCACACAAGCACACUCACACACAAGCACGCACACUCACUCACUCACUCGCACACAAGCACUCACUCACUUACUCACACAUGCAGACACAAGCACUAACUCACGCACACACACACGCGUGCACACACGCACGCACUCGCACUCACACUCACGCACGCACACACACACACACACACACACAAGCACGCACACACACUCUCACACGCAUUCACACACAAGCACUCGCACACAAGCACUCACUCACACUCACGCACGCACAUGCUCGCUCGCACGCACACACACACAAACAAGCGCACACGCG